UACAGAGGGUGCGAGCGUUGUUCGGAAUUAUUGGGCGUAAAGGGCGCGUAGGCGGUGCGGUAAGUCACCUGUGAAAUCUCCUGGCUCAACUGGGAGCUUGCAGGCGAAACUGCCGUGCUGGAGUGUGGGAGAGGUGCGUGGAAUUCCUGGUGUAGCGGUGAAAUGCGUAGAUAUCAGGAGGAACACCUGUGGCGAAAGCGGCGCACUGGACCGCAACUGACGCUGAGGCGCGAAAGCUAGGGGAGCAAACAGG
rnacentral:rRNA from 1 species